AACCCUUGUGGAGGAGGACGCCGAAGGUGGGGCUAAUGACUGGGGUGAAGUCGUAACAAGGUAGCCGUACCGGAAGGUGCGGCUGGAUCACCUCCUAACAGGGAGACAACAAAAUGUAAAUAUUAAUUUUGUCACCUUAGGUCGAUCGGUAUCUCAGAUUCUUAUUUUUUAAGAAUUUCAGUUUCUAAGUUUUUUCUAGGUCACACCCAUCACUUUUUCCUGGGCCAUUAGCUCAGGUGGUUAGAGCGCACCCCUGAUAAGGGUGAGGUCCCUGGUUCAAGUCCAGGAUGGCCCAUAUCUCUAUGUUGGGGGUAUAGCUCAGUUGGUAGAGCGCCUGCUUUGCAAGCAGGAUGUCAGCGGUUCGAGUCCGCUUACCUCCACUGAAUACCACCUCUUACAUGUAUUCAAAGACGGAAAUUGUUUUGAGUCGUGUCCUAAUUUGCUCUGAGCGAAUCUAGCUUCCUAUUUUAAUCAAUAAAUAAGAUGCUGGACUCAUUGAAUUUUUUUCAUUGUUUUCAGAGAACCUUGACAACUGCAUAGAUUAUUUUUUUUUAAAGACAAUAAGCAUCUUUAAUGAUGCAGAUUUAUUAUUUGUGCGAAUGCAUUAAAUAACAAUUCUAUUAAGCUGAUGCUUCAAUUAUUGAAGUUAUUGGUCAAGCUACAAAGGGCUCACGGAGGAUACCUAGGC
rnacentral:misc_RNA from 1 species